GAGAGAGGCUGGCAGCAACGAAAACUGCUAAUUUCCGUCCCCCAGGUUGAACUCCUGGGCUCACUCG